UGGGGGAUAACGUAGGGAAACUUACGCUAAUACCGCAUACGACCUACGGGUGAAAGCAGGGGAUCUUCGGACCUUGCGCGAUUGAAUGAGCCGAUNUCNGAUUAGCUAGUUGGCGGGGUAAAGGCCCACCAAGGCGACNAUCCGUANCUGGUCUGAGAGGAUGAUCAGCCACACUGGAACUGAGACACGGUCCAGACUCCUACGGGAGGCAGCAGUGGGGAAUAUUGGACAAUGGGCGCAAGCCUGAUCCAGCCAUACCGCGUGGGUGAAGAAGGCCUUCGGGUUGUAAAGCCCUUUUGUUGGGAAAGAAAUCCANCCGGCUAAUACCUGGUUGGGAUGACGGUACCCAAAGAAUAAGCACCGGCUAACUUCGUGCCAGCAGCCGCGGUAAUACGAAGGGUGCAAGCGUUACUCGGAAUUACUGGGCGUAAAGCGUGCGUAGGUGGUUGUUUAAGUCUGUUGUGAAAGCCCUGGGCUCAACCUGGGAACUGCAGUGGAAACUGGACAACUAGAGUGUGGUAGAGGGUAGCGGAAUUCCCGGUGUAGCAGUGAAAUGCGUA
rnacentral:rRNA from 1 species